UACGAAGGGUGCAAGCGUUAAUCGGAAUUACUGGGCGUAAAGCGCGCGUAGGUGGUUCAGUAAGUUGGAAGUGAAAUCCCCGGGCUCAACCUGGGAACUGCUUUCAAAACUGCUGAGCUAGAGUACGGUAGAGGGUGGUGGAAUUUCCUGUGUAGCGGUGAAAUGCGUAGAUAUAGGAAGGAACACCAGUGGCGAAGGCGACCACCUGGACUGAUACUGACACUGAGGUGCGAAAGCAUGGGGAGCAAACAGG
rnacentral:rRNA from 1 species